AUGCCUCUAUCUGACUCCAAGCUUAAAAAGGGGGACUUGCAGCCGAUCCGUGACAAAAUUGUGGGGAGGAUGAAAGGAUGGAAACUAGCGUUGUUGUCCCUUGAUGGGAGACUGGACCUAGUCAGGAGCGUCCUAUCGGCGAUGCCAGUUUUCCAAAUGAUAGCACAUCAUUUGCCAGUAUGGCUGGCAAAAUUGAUCGACAAAGUUCGCUGGGGUUUUCUUUGGGUGGGCAGUGAGGUGGCAGCUGGAGGGAAGUGUCUUUUCAACUGGAAGUUGGUAUGCAGGCCAAAGGAAUUUGGGGGCCUAGGAAUCACCAACCUAUCGGCCCAAAGUUUGGCUCUCAGAAUGAGAUGGCUCUGGCAAUCAUGGAACGAUCAGCACAAGCCAUGGCAAGGGCUCGACCUCCCUAUUGACACCAAGGUGACGGCCCUCUUCAACGCCUCUGUUGUUUUCCAUCUUGGCAACGGAGAACGGAUUUUAUUUUGGAAGGAGCCCUGGCAUCACGGAGUUAGUUUGCAGCACGCUUUCCCCGAGCUCUUUGGACACUGCACACGGAAAAACCUCACGGUUGCGCAGGCUAUUGGGGAUGGAAGAUGGAUCAGACACCUAAAACGUAACCUGUCGGCACAAGCAACAAGAGAAUUCACUGCCUUAUGGACGUCCAUCAACAAUACUGUCCUCCAAGACGAAUCUGACCAUGUGAGCUAG
rnacentral:rRNA from 1 species